rnacentral:misc_RNA from 1 species
GUCGUGGGUUUGUGGUCUUCCAUGCCAAGUUUGCUGAGAAUUACCGACUCUACUCUCGUAGUCAUUUUGUCAAAGGGAUCGAGUUGAUGAUUUUGCUCAUUGUUUACCAAAUAUUCGGCCAGCACUAUAGAUCUGGAGUUGCUUACAUAUUCAUCACUGCUUCUAUGUGGUUUAUGGUUGGCACAUGGCUUUUCGCCCCGUUCUUAUUUAAUCCUUCAGGAUUUGAGUGGCAGAAAAUUGUUGAAGACUGGACCGACUGGCACAAGUGGAUCAGCAACUAUGGUGGUAUUGGUGUGUCAACGCAGAAAAGCUGGGAAUCUUGGUGGGAG